rnacentral:lncRNA from 1 species
UUUUUUUCUAUUUUCUCUUUCUAUUUUUCUUUUUCUUCCAACUUCUGAAAUAUUACAAACAUGAUUGUUCAACUCCAAACAAGACACUUUCAACCCUUUGAAUAGGGACAUUGUUUUUCACUUCUUGACUUUUAAUGAGUUUAAAAAAAAUAGGAUAAUAGGAUCAAGGGGGUUUCAAACAAGGGAUGAUAUUAUUUCAGGGUUGGCUUUUUGGCUAACUAGUUAAAAAUAAAAUAAAAUAAAAACAAAAUUUCCUUUAUCAUAUCAGUGUGCACAAGUAAACAACAUCAUCAAUAAGAGUCAAUUCAAGUUCUAGAGACUAACAAACAUGAGUGAAUCACACAAGAAAAA